rnacentral:rRNA from 1 species
GAUGAACGCUGGCGGCGUGCCUAAUACAUGCAAGUCGAGCGAAUGGAUUAAGAGCUUGCUCUUAUGAAGUUAGCGGCGGACGGGUGAGUAACACGUGGGUAACCUGCCCAUAAGACUGGGAUAACUCCGGGAAACCGGGGCUAAUACCGGAUAAUAUUUUGAACUGCAUGGUUCAAAAUUGAAAGGCGGCUUCGGCUGUCACUUAUGGAUGGACCCGCGUCGCAUUAGCUAGUUGGUGAGGUAACGGCUCACCAAGGCAACGAUGCGUAGCCGACCCGAGAGGGUGAUCGGCAACACUGGGACUGAGACACGGCCCAGACUCCUACGGGAGGCAGCAGUAGGGAAUCUUCCGCAAUGGACGAAAGUCUGACGGAGCAACGCCGCGUGAGUGAUGAAGGCUUUCGGGUCGUAAAACUCUGUUGUUAGGGAAGAACAAGUGCUAGUUGAAUAAGCUGGCACCUUGACGGUACCUAACCAGAAAGCCACGGCUAACUACGUGCCAGCAGCCGCAGUAA